rnacentral:rRNA from 1 species
GAGCGUCAGCUCCCCCCAACUCAAGCUUUUUUUUCUUAUGGAAGGCAAGUUUGGAUUACUUUGAAGGUGUAGCUUGCAAAGGCUGCUUUUCAGAAAUUCAUAGGCAGUAUGGUUGUUCCUAGACCAGACGUAAUAAUAAUAAAACCGUCUUUUUGGGAAAGAAUCGUGCUUGCCUUAACCCACCCAUUUUAUUUUACUUGGGUGACCUCAGAUCAGGUAGGGAUACCCGCUGAACUUAAGCAUAUCAAUAAGCGGAGGAAAAGAAACCAACAGGGAUUGCCUUAGUAACGGCGAGUGAAGCGGCAAAAGCUCAGAUUUGAAAUCUGGCGUCAUUUUGGCGUCCGAGUUGUAGUCUGUAGAGGAGUAUUCGAGUGUAGCGCUGGCUUAAGUUCCUUGGAACAGGGCGUCAUAGAGGGUGAGAACCCCGUUAACGGCCUUUGUCUUAUGCUCAUGUGAAUCUUCUUCAACGAGUCGAGUUGUUUGGGAAUGCAGCUCUAAAUGGGUGGUAAAUUCCAUCUAAAGCUAAAUACUGGCAAGAGACCGAUAGCGCACAAGUAGAGUGAUCGAAAGAUGAAAAGAACUCUGAACAGAGAGUUAAAUAGUACGUGAAAUUGUUGAAAGGGAAGCACUUGCGACCAGACACACUUGCAGUUGAUCAACCUCCAUUUUUGGUGGUGCACUCGGUUGUAGGUGGGUCAGCAUCAGUUACAGCGGUGGGAAAAAGACCGAGGGAAUGUGGCUCCCUUCGGGGAGUGUUAUAGCCCUUGGUGUAAUGCUGCCAGCUGGACUGAGGACCGC